ACGCGGAGGCUGAGCGCGGAAAGCAGACCCGUCGUUCCGCAUGCUCGGAGUUUAUGGAGAUAUGCCGGGGCAUGUGAUUAGCGUCUGACACGGGACUUUUAAUCUAAUACGUCGUCGCUUCGGUCGGUAGAAGUCGUGUUCGGAAUUUUUGUUGCUCAUAUAUAUUCAUGAAAUUUCAUUCAGGACUUUGAAUAAUCUGAAAAUGAACCUGUUUCAGGACAACAACCUUGCAGGGGUACUGUGAAGCUGAAGUGAUCCAAUGAUAAUCCAUGCGAUUUUACUUGCAUCAGGAAUGGUCACGGAAGGCACUGGAGUAUCUGCUGGAAUCGUGUGCUUACUUAUGAAUCCGCUGAUGCAAAUGGAAAUUGAUCUGCACUAGCCAGGGAUGCUAAUAUAUCUGACUGCUAGACAACCAAGGAACUGGAUUCGAUUGUGGCCUCUUCUAGUAUGAUUGGAACUAUAAUGAUUGCAUUACAGUUUUUUUCUUGCAUUACUCAAGCCCUCUGAUACCAUUAAAUACUUAAGUUCUAACAUAAUAUCAGCACAGUCUGUCAUAUAUUACACCAGUAUUGUGUUCU